CGACUCCCAAAUUCACCAAAAUGAACUGUUUUCUCAAUCAAAUUUGCUUUAUCGGUUGCCCGAAAAUUUGGGUAAUUCUGCAGCCUCUUUCCGUGUAAAAGAUCUGUCGGUGACUGCGCUUAUUUUCGUAAAAGGCUGAAUUUCAAUACAACGAAAUUUCGAUAUAACGAAGCAAAUUGUCGAUUCUAUCAUUUGUUAUAUUGAGGUUUAACUGUACUUCUGUAUAACUUUAUCAGAAAUAACUUGACAGUUCAAUUUGGUACCCUUUUAUGAGAAAUGGCCGAAAGUAAAAUAUGGCCUUCCCCCAAAGUUUCAGUUGGCAAAUAAAUUCGAAGUUUCAGAUAUAUACAUAGAUGCAUGCAUGCUAUGUACCUGCAUUUGACUCUUAAAGAGACCUAAACACGUGCAUCUGCCACAUCAUUAAAGCUUGCAGCCUUGUUACAGACAAGAAAAGGUUACACAAUUUCAGGCCUUAUUUUAGGUACACACAUUAUCAUGCAAAGAGGCUACAACAGACUAAUGCACAGAAAAAUAUGUUUCCUGCAACCACAUGUGUGACAGGUUUUUUGAAGCUGCCUGUACUGAGGCCAACUAAGCUCUUGCAAAAUAUGGCCAAAGACACUAGAAGGUUGCACUGAAUGCUCUUGCACUGUUGCCUGUGCAAAUCAAUGCUUCAGCUUCAUUUCAUUGUAAAUUUGACAGCAAAGGUAUCGCCUACAAUAGCAAAGGCAAGAAAAGCUCUGUAUUUAAACAAAGAGGUAUGCUGGCAUAGGAGUAUUGACGUGAAAGCUACUCCGCAAUAAGUAUGAUAAUCCACCAUAACAGGAAUCAUUCUGCAAUGUAAGUACAUUCAUAAAGACGCAUAAGUAUUUACUAUUAAACAACUUUUUGCUCUUCUACUACUUAGGCCGAUUGUUCAGACAGUGUGGCAACUUUGGCGUUGCACUACUAAACUCGAGGUUGCGAGUUUGAUCCCAGCCAUGGCAACCACACUUCGAUGGAGGCAAAAUGCAAAAAUGUUAAUGUAUUUAAACAAGCAUUUAGAUGCACGUUAGAAAACCUCAGGUCGUUAAAAUUAAUCUGGAGUCCCCAUUAUGACACGUCUUAUAAUCAUAUCAUGGUUUUGACACAAAAUCCCAAUACUUGAUUUUAAAAUAAGGGAACUAUAGCAACGCAGUCCACCAAGCAAAGUUAGGCACACAGUCAAGCACAAAUGUUUUCCAAUGAAGUUAUUUAAAGUCAUCCCAUUACAAGCUACAGCCUUUCUCACUCUGGCAGGUUCUCUUUUGAAGAAUGCUCAAGACCUCUUGUACAUAAGGAACUGCUCAGCUAGGUCAUAGGCACUUUGUGGUGGUGACCUCCACAUGAUUAAUGGCAUUCGGAGCCCGCGAAGAUGCGAAAGAAACACGCCCAUUCGUGUGUAAAGCAUUACUGGUGAAUCGCCACCAACUUCUUUGAACCGGCAAGCCUCUUCAGAGAGCACGUCAGCGCUGUGCCCUACGCCAUGACUUCAUUGGGGUGCCCAAAUGCUGUGCUUCCUGCAGAGACUGCCUCCAGGCAACUCAACAACUGCAGCACCUGGUUCAUAUCCAGCAGAAGCUCCGUUGAGUCUGACAGCGUGUGAAUCGCAUCCCGGAGAAGACGAGGCCACAUACUGCACACAAGCCAUAAAUGCAGAGAGUGCACAAAUACAGAACUGGUUGAUUUAUUGGCUGAUUGAUUGAUUGUGUUUAAUGUUCCAAAGCAAUAAAAUAGAGAACUGGG